UUGCGUUAAGGCCAGUUAAAUUCUGCAGGUUCUGCUUCCAUACAAGAGAUCCAUCUGAUGCUUUAACCGCAUAGAGGUAUCCAUUCCAGCUUGGAAAGUAAAGGGUACCGUUGAAGAUUGCUGGUGUAGCAGUUAUGUCUUUCCCUGCAUAGAAUUCCCACUUCAAACGAAGCUUGGAAGUGGUUUCAGGGCUGAUUUCGGUUUCAGUACUGGCGUAUCUUCUGUUAUACAAGUCUCCUCCAUGGUUUAACCAGUCUGCUGAAUCUUUGUGAGAGUCCUUCUGGCUCAUACUAUCCCACUGGAAACAAACACCAAAAUCAAAUUGUAAUUUAGUGAAUUGAGGCCAAAAGAAAGGAGAAAUCGAGAGAGACACUUACACCAGAAUCUGCUUUAGAUGUGAUGAUGAGUAGCCAAAACAUGCAUAGAAAAAGGGCAAAAGGAUUGCAUUGAUGAGGCUCCAUGGAGGUGGAGUUUGUCUCACAAGUUUUCAGAUCAGUCUUGUCCUUAUGUAUAUUGUAUCUCAUAUAUUGUAUUUCAUAUAUAUGACUUAUAUGAUCUGACUUUGAGGGUUCUUAUCUUUCAUUUUCACAAUUUUUGGCUAUGAAUCUGGUUUACCUUGUACAUUGGUUAGCGAUCAGUAUUACCAUGUGAUUCUUGUUAUCAAACUGCAUAUACUAAAUCAACUGCUCGAAGUUAUGAUCAUUUAUAAGAUGCAUUUAUGAUUGGAGGUCAUUUAUAUUCUUUAGAAUUUAUGUUGAGAACAUGGAGGCAUUUUUGAUGAUUAAUAAAUCAAAUGAUUAAGACUCCUAUGUUUGUUUUUUAGUUUUGUUUUGUUUUGCUUUUUGUAAUCAAUUGACUGAAUCAAGCCGGUAUUUGGCUGACAUCUGUUCCCUAUGCAAAGAAGGUACGACAUUUUCAAAUACAAUAUUGGAGGGAUCAUAAAGCCGUGUGUAUAUAAAUAUAAAAGAUUAAUUUUUGUUUGCUUUCUCCGAAGGAUUAAUCCUAGUUGCAUGCUAUAGAUUAAUUUUUGUUUGCUUUUUCCCAAGGAUUAAUCCUAGUUGCAAGUUAUUUCUGUUAAUAUUACUAAUUAAGGAUAUAGUUGUUACAUAAUAAUCAGUUAGUUUAGUCUUUCAAACAUGAUUUGUGUUGGAAAGUAAACUUGGUUUAGAUAGGGAGUUGGGUACCUAUCCAUUGGUAUCUUAGUACUUAAUUGAUUUACUACAUUUGCACUGCUCAGCAUCUCAUACUAUAGUAUUAACGGCAUUUGAAUAUAUUAAUUUCUGCCUUUGCCUCAGGGCGUAGUGCAGUGCCUUCUGUCAAUGAAUGAAAGGUACUGAUCUGGAGUACGAGUUUCUCCGGUAUCUAAGUAAUAUAAGAUAUAUAGUUCAUGACAUGGAUUUUAAUUAACACAUAUUGAUCCUUGAAGAAGUCUAUAGGUUCAUACAUUCACUCCAGCACUCAAAUAUACACAUUUUCCUUUCAUUUUCAAUAGAAAUAUAUCAUAUAAGUUGCAUAUUUAUUCAUGGAUAUAUGGUAAGUAGAUUCACAGCUGAAAAAUGGGUGGGUUCAUGAGAGACAGAAGGCAAAGAGUGAAGUUCCACCUGUGAAUGAAAGCAAUGUUCCAAAGUUGACACUGUAUCCACUCCCAACAUAAAUGCAUCCGCUACUCACCGAGGCGCCUCCAUACACAGAGGCUCCAGUGUUGUGUGACCAAAGGAUUCUUCCAGAGGUGGCUUCCAUGGCGUACAUUGGCCCUGUUGGAUGUGUUGAUCCAGCAAAGAGGACACCGUUAGCGAUGGUAACUGGACCAUUGGAGGUGGCAUUGCUGGGAUUGGCUGUGGACCAUAGGGUUUCGCCAGUGUUAGCAUCCAUUGCCACCCAUCCGCCGGCGGUUGUGAUUGCGUCGGAUGGUUUGAGAGUGAAGUUCUGGCCACUGCUAUUGACAAUGUUGGUGUAGACCCUCUUGCCGUCCGUGGCUGCCCCCCAGGUGCCUCCUCCGGUAAGGCCACCAGGUCCAGCCUCCUGCAUCAAAAGUACUUUUUGGUUAGCCAAUUCCACAUAAGAAAUUGGCACCCUUUAGGGGAAUAUGUAGACUUACAGUGGACCAAACGAGGCUGCCAUCAUAUCGAUCUAAAGCCCAUGCAAAACCACUUUUCUGAACAGCCACUACAAUAUCUAGCAUGGUUCCAUUGAGAUAUAUUCUCAGCAUCAUUGGUGCCUCCCCAAAAUCAGCAUCUUGGUUAGGCCCAGAUGGGCAAUUUGGAGUCGAAAGAUUGCUACAUGCGAGGAACCACACGUCGUAGCCUCCCAGUUGCCUGUACCACUUGAUCUUGCCGGAGUCUAAAUCAAAUGCCAAGAUGGAAUUGGAGUGGUUAUCAGGCUCAAUGCAUUGGUCAGGUUGAGUGGGGACAGUCUGAUUAUUCUGCUGUUCCUGGCAUUCCUGAAUAUUCAAAGGAGCUGAAUAUAGGUUACCAGUGGCAACAUAUACAAGAUUUCUCUGGACAUCUAUGGAAGGGCUGCUUCCCCAGAUGGCUGCACCCGCAUACUCUCCUCUCUCGCCGUGAUUGUCCGGCAAAGUGAAUGUCUGCCACAAGAUGGCACCAGUUUUGAUGUCUAAUUUGGAGAGGCUACCCCGGAAGAUGCAGCAUUGCUCAAUGCCAAGAAGUUCUUCUAGUGAUGAUGUUCCAACAUAGAAGCUCCUGUACAUGUAAAAAGAUGAUUCGGUAUCAGCCCACAAAUACAUAUAACACGGCUGAUCACUUCAAGUGAACCAAUUAAUUUUCGUUUUCUACUAGGUAGAACUAAUCAAACACUUGCUAGUGGCUGCAAUCAUUUAUGUAUAACAACUCAUAGCUGUGUUUCAAUGUCAUACAAGGGAGAAUUAGUCAUAUAAUCCUGCAUACCUUGCCGCUGAAAAAUUUAAAAUAAUACAGCUUGAUUAACUAUAAAAAGUCAAUGUGUAGCCAUAUGCUAAUUAAAUAUAUUAUUGUAUUGCGUAAGUCUAUGUAUAGAUACUUUGUAGAUAGGCCAUUCACUUACACACCAUUGCAUAUAUGUGUAAGUAUGUAUCUUGAACCCCAGGAAGGGUUAUUGACUGUCAUUAGUAUAUACAUGUGUAGAGAAAAGCCAUCAUCUGAAGAUAUCAAAGCUACCAGAAACUCCUAAGAAAGUAUGUGAAUUGGAAUGAUUAUAAUUAAUUAACAUAUCAUAACUCACUCUUUUUCCUUUCUCCAUUAAUUGUGGACUACUAAGAUGCAAAGAGAGGUUAAAUUCAGGGGUGCUUACCCUUUGUGAAAGGUUCCAGACAUGGCAACAACGCCUGCCGGAUUGCUUUCCAGCCGAGUAGACCACAUAAGCCUUCCUGUUGCUUGGUCAACGCCAAUGACAACAGCAGGUCCAUAGAUUCCAAUGAUGAGCAUGUCACCAGCUAUUGUUGGAGUUGAUCUAGAUACUGUCCAGUUAACAUUAGUAACAAAUCCGGUUGCGUUAAGGCCAGUUAAAUUCUGCAGGUUCUGCUUCCAUACAAGAGAUCCAUCUGAUGCUUUAACCGCAUAGAGGUAUCCAUUCCAGCUUGGAAAGUAAAGGGUACCGUUGAAGAUUGCUGGUGUAGCAGUUAUGUCUUUCCCUGCAUAGAAUUCCCACUUCAAACGAAGCUUGGAAGUGGUUUCAGGGCUGAUUUCGGUUUCAGUACUGGCGUAUCUUCUGUUAUACAAGUCUCCUCCAUGGUUUAAUCAGUCUGCUGGAUCUUUGUGAGAGUCCUUCUGGCUCAUACUAUCCCACUGGAAACAAACACCAAAAUCAAAUUGUAAUUUAGUGAAUUGAGGCCAAAAGACAGAAGAAAUCGAGAGAGAUACUUACACCAGAAUCUGCUUUAGAUGUGAUGAUGAGUAGCCAAAACAUGCAUAGAAAAAGGGCAAAAGGAUUGCAUUGAUGAGGCUCCAUGUAGGUGGAGUUUGUCUCACAAGUUUUCAGAUCAGUCUUGUCCUUAUGUAUAUUGUAUCUCAUAUAUUGUAUUUCAUAUAUAUGACUUAUAUGAUCUG
rnacentral:lncRNA from 1 species